ensembl:lncRNA
GUCCUCGACUAGUAGGGAACACGUGAUGAAGCAGAAACCUUUGUAACAAAUGUGGUGAAGAGUUUAUGUUGAAUAAAAACAUCCACUAAGACAACAGAGUCAGAGUGUUUUUAUUCUUCUCUCCACUUUGAGGAUCUGGUUGAACCUGUUUGGGCGGAACAACUUACUCGUAUCAGUCUGAAGCUGCGUGUUAAAUCAUUUACCUUUAUGACAAACUGCACAAAGUACAAGCUGUUACAUUCAGGAUUCUACUGAGGCUUCGUGCUACUUCCUCAACCCCAUGGCUCAUACCUGCUGUGCAAAGGAUUGUGGUCUGUUCUUCACAGGUGUGGUGAGUUGCUGCUGACGAUGUGGGCGUGGCUAGCUGUUCCUCCAGCCAAUCCAGCUCUGCUCUAUAAAAUGUCUGUGUGUGUGUACUUACCCCAGGAGCGCUGUGGAGCAGGACCAGGUCAGAUACCCUGGGGCCU